GAUGUAUAUAUAGCUGACUGUUGAUAGAAUCAUCAGCGGUAACGCAAUUGGCGCUUCAUUCUCUCUUUACAUAAUUACAGAAUUUUGUAAAAGUUUUAAAGAUUAGUCGAUUUCUUGAAGGUGGGGUUUUGUAUAGAUUGAUGAAUAGUAAUAUAUAAGAGAAAAGAGGAAAUUUUGAGAGGUGGGUAAUGAUGAGAAAGCAAGAAGAUAUAGAAAAUGAAGGAGUUGGGGUAAUGGUAAUGGAAGAUGGGAAGGAUUUAGAGAGGAAUAUUUCAUCUGAGGGUGGUUUUAGAGAGCCAUUGCUUAAAUCAAAGAGUAGAGUCAAUAAUACAUCACAAAUUGCUAUUAUUGGAGCCAAUGUUUGCCCUAUUGAGAGUCUUGAUUAUGACAUUGUUGAAAAUGACCUAUUCAAGCAAGAUUGGAGAUCAAGGAAAAAGGUCCAGAUAUAUCAAUAUAUAUUCCUUAAGUGGACACUCGUGCUUCUUAUUGGAUUGUUUACAGGACUUGUUGGUUUCUUUUUAAACAUAGCAGUGGAAAAUAUUGCUGGCUUUAAGCUUCUGCUUGCUAGUGAUUUAAUGCUCGAGGAUAAGUAUUUCCGUGCAUUUGCUAUUUUUGCAGGUUGCAAUUUGGGUCUUGCAACUUGUGCUGCCAUCCUAUGUGCAUGUAUUGCACCUGCAGCUGCAGGGUCAGGAAUUCCUGAAGUUAAAGCAUAUUUGAAUGGUGUGGAUGCUCAUUCCAUUUUAGCUCCUAGUACUUUAUUUGUAAAGAUAAUUGGUUCUGUUUUGGGUGUUUCUGCUGGAUUUGUUGUUGGUAAGGAAGGACCCAUGGUCCACACUGGCGCUUGCAUAGCUAACUUACUUGGGCAGGGCGGCUCCCGCAAAUAUCAUCUGACGUGGAAGUGGCUGAGGUAUUUUAAAAAUGACCGUGACCGCAGAGAUUUGAUCACUUGUGGUGCUGCAGCUGGUGUUGCAGCCGCUUUCCGUGCUCCAGUUGGUGGUGUUCUUUUUGCUCUCGAAGAAGUAGCCUCAUGGUGGCGAAGUGCUCUACUUUGGAGGACUUUCUUCACAA
rnacentral:misc_RNA from 1 species